rnacentral:tRNA from 1 species
GAGGAAGGUUCGCAUAACAGAUGAACCCUGCUAAGUUUCAUUAUCUCGGUUGAACUCCGGGGCUAUCCUCG